AGGAACGGUCCAAGAAAGAGAAGAUAGACGGAGUCGAGCGUCUCUGUUUGGACUCGAUGUCUGAGCCGUCAUCUGAUUGGUUGCUGUAGCUGGGUGACUGGGCAGGAGACACACUGGAGGUCGUACUGUGGGCAUCUGAGUCUGCUUAGAAAACAAAACCCAACAUUUAACACAUCAGUCAUCAGAUACAUUUGAGCCUGAAUGUUUCUUCAUAUCGACUGCUGUCUGUGAAGCGUGAACUGGAGGACUUGGUCUUGCAGAUGCAGCAGCCGUCGUUACUCCGAAUGCACCGUCAGGCGCUGGAUUCAGGCUGAAGCCACACAGUAUCAUGCAAGAAGGAUCCUUUUCUCUGCUGAAGGUAUUCCAUGUAAAAGAUUUGCAUACAAGUACAU